AUGGCCUGGGCUCUGCUCCUCCUCAGCCUCCUCUCUCAGGGCACAGGGUCCAGGGCCCAGGCGGCCCUCACUCAGCUGCCAUCAGUGUCCGGGAACCUGGGACAGUCGGUCACCAUCUCCUGUGCGGGGAGCAGCAAUGACAUCGGGCGUUAUAAUUACGUCUCCUGGUACCAACAGCGCCCGGGCACGGCCCCCAAACUCAUGAUUUCCUACGUCAACGCUCGGCGCCCGGGGAUCCCUGAGCGCUUCUCCGGCUUCAAGUCCAGCAACACAGCCUUCCUCAUCAUCUCCGGGCUGCAGGCUGAGGACGAGGCUGACUACCACUGCUUCUCCUAUGUGGGCAGCAACACUCUCCACGGUGGUGCAUGCUCAUGGGGAAGUGAGACCAAAACCACCCAGGCGCCCGCCAUGCUCUGA